AUUGAACGCUGGCGGCAGGCCUAACACAUGCAAGUCGAGCGAGCGGCGGACGGGUGAGUAAUGUAUGGGGACUGCCCGAUAGAGGGGGAUAACUACUGGAAACGGUGGCUAAUACCGCAUACUAUCGGAUAACCCAUAUGGGAUUAGCUAGUAGGUAAGGUAAUGGCUUACCUAGGCGACGAUCCCUAGCUGGUCUGAGAGGAUGAUCAGCCCACCCUGGGCUGGGGCAAGGGCCAAGCUCCUUCGGAGGGAACAGGGGGGAAUAUUGCACAAUGGGCGCAAGCCUGAUGCAGCCAUGCCGCGUGUAUGAAGAAGGCCCUAGGGUUGUAAAGUACUUUCAGUCGGGAGGCGUUACCGACAGAAGAAGCACCGGCUAACUCCGUGCCAGCAGCCGCGGUAAUAC
rnacentral:rRNA from 1 species